GCUUUUUUAAAUGGGAGGAGCCAGAGCAAUUCUGUGGUUUAUGCAUAGGGCCUGUUUCUCCUCAGCAGCCAGCAUAGCAUGGGGGAAAAAGA
rnacentral:snoRNA from 1 species